rnacentral:rRNA from 1 species
UGGCUCAGGACGAACGCUGGCGGCGUGCCUAAUACAUGCAAGUCGAGCGAGUCUGCCUUGAAGAUCGGAGUGCUUGCACUCUGUGAAACAAGAUACAGGCUAGCGGCGGACGGGUGAGUAACACGUGGGUAACCUGCCCAAGAGAUCGGGAUAACACCUGGAAACAGAUGCUAAUACCGGAUAACAACAGAUGAUGCCUAUCAACUGUUUAAAAGAUGGUUCUGCUAUCACUCUUGGAUGGACCUGCGGUGCAUUAGCUAGUUGGUAGGGUAACGGCCUACCAAGGCGAUGAUGCAUAGCCGAGUUGAGAGACUGAUCGGCCACAUUGGGACUGAGACACGGCCCAAACUCCUACGGGAGGCAGCAGUAGGGAAUCUUCCACAAUGGACGCAAGUCUGAUGGAGCAACGCCGCGUGAGUGAAGAAGGGUUUCGGCUCGUAAAGCUCUGUUGUUGGUGAAGAAGGACAGGGGGUAGUAACUGACCUUUGUUUGACGGUAAUCAAUUAGAAAGUCACGGCUAACUACGUGCCAGCAGCCGCGGUAAUACGUAGGUGGCAAGCGUUGUCCGGAUUUAUUGGGCGUAAAGCGAGUGCAGGCGGCUCGGUAAGUCUGAUGUGAAAGCCUUCGGCUCAACCGGAGAAUUGCAUCAGAAACUGUCGAGCUUGAGUACAGAAGAGGAGAGUGGAACUCCAUGUGUAGCGGUGAAAUGCGUAGAUAUAUGGAAGAACACCGGUGGCGAAGGCGGCUCUCUGGUCUGUUACUGACGCUGAGGCUCGAAAGCAUGGGUAGCGAACAGGAUUAGAUACCCUGGUAGUCCAUGCCGUAAACGAUGAGUGCUAAGCGUUGGGAGGUUUCCGCCUCUCAGUGCUGCAGCUAACGCAUUNAGCACUCCGCCUGGGGAGUACGACCGCAAGGUUGAAACUCAAAGGAAUUGACGG